GUUUAGCUCCAAGCUGGCUCCCAAUUUCCUUAAAGCGCGAGUGCGAAGGAAGUUAGGGAAGGUAUAUUACGAGCUAGAAGAUCUACAAGGCCGCCUGAUCGGAAAUUUCCAUGCCAAAGAUAUUAAGCCAUAAGCGUAGACAACAAGCGGGAAUCUUCCUUGUGUUGUUCCACCCCAAGUUAGAUUUUAGUGGGGGGGAAAAUGUAAUGCGCUUGUUGUAACUUAACAACAAACCAAAUGCCUAAAAGUAAACCUCAUUUAGUUAAGCUUGGAAUAACCGAAAAUACAAAACAAAAAACAAAAAGCUUGGUUAAGCUUAAAGUUUCUUAUCUAUUGAUAAUCAAUUAUCUACCCAGAAUUGAGCAUUUAAGUAUCGGUCUAAGCAUAGAAUAAGCAGCGGCCAACUUCUUUUCUCUUGUGGCUGCUAAGAUAAGCGCAUCGCUCGCGGUUAAACUCCAGUAUAUAUUUAACCCCCGGAAAAAAAAAAAAAGACACGUGGUGUUGAAUUUCCACAUAAGUUUCCCAAAACUAAACGCAGAGGGAAGUGAGCAGCGCUCAGUGUAUUAAAAGUGAAUUACAUUUUUGCGGUGCCAAUUCAAGGUCGAAUUGGCACCCAGUAAGAACCCAUUUGUGUAUUGUUCUUACAUUGGGAAUAAGUUUACAAUCCCCCAAGCAGCAGUUUACCCUAAGAAGGGCUUCCAGCGCCACGCCGCGGGAUCUGAUGGAUUUAUUAUAAAUUAGUAUUCAUCGCUCAACCCGACAAAAGAUCUUUUGGACGUGGAUAUUAAACUCGAUGUAAGUGAAAAAAAAAACUCAUUACCCCAAAUUAAAUAUUGUUGGUGGUUAGGCUGAUUUUUCUCAGUGUAAUAAAAGCUUUACCUGAAAGAUUUUUAUCUCCCAUACGGUAAAAUCGAACCACGCGGUUGCAAUUAAAUACCGAAAAACGGUACACUGAA